AAUUGGCACGAUUUAGCCAUGCUAGUCGCACGAGUUCAGACUCGUGGCGAAUAGCUCAGUAACACGUGGCCAAACUACCCUUCGGAACACAAUACCCUCGGGAAACUGAGGCUAAUAGUGUAUAUCGUACCACCACUGGAAUGAGUGGUACGCCAAACGCUCCGGCGCCGAAGGAUGUGGCUGCGGCCGAUUAGGUAGACGGUGGGGUAACGGCCCACCGUGCCAAUAAUCGGUAUGGGUCAUGAGAGUGAGAACCCAGAGACGGAAUCUGAGACAAGAUUCCGGGCCCUACGGGGCGCAGCAGGCGCGAAACCUUUACACUGCACGACAGUGCGAUAGGGGGAUCCCAAGUGCACAGGCAUAGCGCCUGUGCUUUUCGGCACCCUAAGGCGGUGCCAGAAUAAGGGCUGGGCAAGACCGGUGCCAGCCGCCGCGGUAAUACCGGCAGCCCAAGUGAUGGCCGAUCUUAUUGGGCCUAAAGCGUCCGUAGCUGGCCGCGCAAGUCCAUCGGGAAAUCCACCUGCUCAACAGGUGGGCGCCCGGUAGAAACUGCGUGGCUUGGGACCGGAAGGCGCGACGGGUACGUCCGGGGUAGGAGUGAAAUCCCGUAAUCCUGGACGGACCGCCGAUGGCGAAAGCACGUCGCGAGAACGGAUCCGACAGUGAGGGACGAAAGCCAGGGUCUCGAACCGGAUUAGAUACCCGGGUAGUCCUGGGCGUAAACAAUGUCUGCUAGGUGUGGCUCCCACUACGAGUGGGUGCUGUGCCGUAGGGAAGCCGCUAAGCAGACCGCCUGGGAAGUACGUCCGCAAGGAUGAAACUUAAAGGAAUUGGCGGGGGAGCACUACAACCGGAGGAGCCUGCGGUUUAAUUGGACUCAACGCCGGACAUCUCACCAGCAUCGACUGUAGUAAUGACGAUCAGGUUGAUGACCUUAUCCGAGCCUCAGAGAGGAGGUGCAUGGCCGCCGUCAGCUUGUACCGUGAGGCGUCCUGUUAAGUCAGGCAACGAGCGAGACCCGCACCCUUACUUGCCAGCAGUACCGUGAGGUAGCUGGGGACAGUAGGGGGACCGCCGUGGCUAACACGGAGGAAGGAACGGGCAACGGUAGGUCAGUAUGCCCCGAAUGUGCUGGGCAACACGCGGGCUACAAUGGUCGAGACAAAGGGUUCCUACUCCGAAAGGAGACGGUAAUCUCAGAAACUCGAUCGUAGUUCGGAUUGUGGGCUGCAACUCGCCCACAUGAAGCUGGAUUCGGUAGUAAUCGCGUGUCACAAGCGCGCGGUGAAUACGUCCCUGCUCCUUGCACACACCGCCCGUCAAAGCACCCGAGUGAGGUCCGGAUGAGGCGUCCACGAACGUCGAUAU
rnacentral:rRNA from 1 species